rnacentral:rRNA from 1 species
UUCUUUGCUGACGAGUGGCGGACGGGUGAGUAAUGUCUGGGAAACUGCCUGAUGGAGGGGGAUAACUACUGGAAACGGUAGCCAAUACCGCAUAACGUCGCAAGACCAAAGAGGGGGACCUUCGGGCCUCUUGCCAUCGGAUGUGCCCAGAUGGGAUUAGCUAGUAGGUGGGGUAACGGCUCACCUAGGCGACGAUCCCUAGCUGGUCUGAGAGGAUGACCAGCCACACUGGAACUGAGACACGGUCCAGACUCCUACGGGAGGCAGCAGUGGGGAAUAUUGCACAAUGGGCGCAAGCCUGAUGCAGCCAUGCCGCGUGUAUGAAGAAGGCCUUCGGGUUGUAAAGUACUUUCAGCGGGGAGGAAGGGAGUAAAGUUAAUACCUUUGCUCAUUGACGUUACCCGCAGAAGAAGUACCGGCUAACUCCGUGCCAGCAGCCGCGGUAAUACGGAGGGUGCAAGCGUUAAUCGGAAUUACUGGGCGUAAAGCGCACGCAGGCGGUUUGUUAAGUCAGAUGUGAAAUCCCCGGGCUCAACCUGGGAACUGCAUCUGAUACUGGCAAGCUCGAGUCUCGUAGAGGGGGGUAGAAUUCCAGGUGUAGCGGUGAAAUGCGUAGAGAUCUGGAGGAAUACCGGUGGCGAAGGCGGCCACAUGGACGAAGACUGACGCUCAGGUGCGAAAGCGUGGGGAGCAAACAGGAUU